rnacentral:rRNA from 1 species
AGAGUUUGAUCCUGGCUCAGAGCGAACGCUGGCGGCAGGCCUAACACAUGCAAGUCGAACGGAUCCUUCGGGAUUAGUGGCGGACGGGUGAGUAACACGUGGGAACGUGCCUUUUGGUUCGGAACAACUCAGGGAAACUUGAGCUAAUACCGGAUAAGCCUUUCGAGGGAAAGAUUUAUCGCCAUUAGAGCGGCCCGCGUAGGAUUAGCUAGUUGGUGGGGUAAAGGCCCACCAAGGCUACGAUCCUUAGCUGGUCUGAGAGGAUGAUCAGCCACAUUGGGACUGAGACACGGCCCAAACUCCUACGGGAGGCAGCAGUGGGGAAUCUUGCGCAAUGGGCGAAAGCCUGACGCAGCCAUGCCGCGUGAAUGAUGAAGGUCUUAGGAUUGUAAAAUUCUUUCACCGGGGACGAUAAUGACGGUACCCGGAGAAGAAGCCCCGGCUAACUUCGUGCCAGCAGCCGCGGUAAUACGAAGGGGGCUAGCGUUGCUCGGAAUUACUGGGCGUAAAGGGAGCGUAGGCGGAUAGUUUAGUCAGAGGUGAAAGCCCAGGGCUCAACCUUGGAAUUGCCUUUGAUACUGGCUAUCUUGAGUACGGAAGAGGUAUGUGGAACUCCGAGUGUAGAGGUGAAAUUCGUAGAUAUUCGGAAGAACACCAGUGGCGAAGGCGACAUACUGGUCCGUUACUGACGCUGAGGCUCGAAAGCGUGGGGAGCAAACAGGAUUAGAUACCCUGGUAGUCCACGCUGUAAACGAUGAGUGCUAGUUGUCGGCAGGCAUGCCUGUCGGUGACGCAGCUAACGCAUUAAGCACUCCGCCUGGGGAGUACGGUCGCAAGAUUAAAACUCAAAAGAAUUGACGGAA